rnacentral:rRNA from 1 species
UAGAGUUUGAUCCUGGCUCAGAACGAACGCUGGCGGCGUGCUUAACACAUGCAAGUCGAACGCGAAAGGGACUUCGGUUCCGAGUAGAGUGGCGCACGGGUGAGUAACGCGUAGAUAACCUGUCCUUGUGUCUGGAAUAAUACGUCGAAAGGUGUACUAAUACCGGAUACUCUUGCUUUAUAUAAGUUUUGCAAGCAAAGGUGGCCUCUGACAUAAGCUACUGCAUAAGGAGGGGUCUGCGUACCAUUAGCUAGUAGGUGGGGUAAAGGCCUACCUAGGCUACGAUGGUUAGCGGGUCUGAGAGGAUGAUCCGCCACACUGGCACUGGAACACGGGCCAGACUCCUACGGGAGGCAGCAGUGAGGAAUAUUGCGCAAUGGGGGCAACCCUGACGCAGCGACGCCGCGUGAGUGAGGAAGGCCUUCGGGUCGUAAAGCUCUGUCAAAGGGAAAGAAGUGCAUAGUGGUUAAUACCUGCUAUGUUUGACGGUACCCUUAAAGGAAGCACCGGCUAACUCCGUGCCAGCAGCCGCGGUAAUACGGAGGGUGCAAGCGUUGUUCGGAAUUACUGGGCGUAAAGGGCGCGUAGGCGGUUUGAUAAGUCAGAUGUGAAAGCCCACGGCUUAACCGUGGAAGUGCAUUUGAAACUGUCAGACUUGAGUACCAGAGGGGAAAGUGGAAUUCCCGGUGUAGAGGUGAAAUUCGUAGAUAUCGGGAGGAAUACCGGUGGCGAAAGCGACUUUCUGGCUGGAUACUGACGCUGAGGCGCGAAAGCGUGGGGGAGCAAACAGGAUUAGAUACCCUGGUAGUCCACGCUGUAAACGAUGUCAACUAGAUGGUGGGGGGGUGUUGACCCCUUCUGUGUCGCA